GAGUAGUUGUACGUCCUACGGCGUCACGGACGAACGGCUGGCGGCGUGCUUAACACAUGCCAAGUCGACGGAAAGGCCCCUGCUUGCAGGGGUACUCGAGUGGCGAACGGGUGAGUAACACGUGGGUGAUCUGCCCUUCACUUCGGGAUAAGCUGGGAAACUGGGUCUAAUACCGGAUAGGACCAAUCUUUAGUGUGGUUGGUGGAAAGUUUUUUCGGUGGAGGAUGAGCCCGCGGCCUAUCAGCUUGUUGUGGGGUAAUGGCCUACCAAGGCGACGACGGGUAGCCGGCCUGAGAGGGUGGACGGCCACAUUGGGACUGAGAUACGGCCCAGACUCCUACGGGAGGCAGCAGUGGGGAAUAUUGCACAAUGGGCGGAAGCCUGAUGCAGCGACGCCGCGUGAGGGAUGACGGCCUUCGGGUUGUAAACCUCUUUCGCUAGGGAAGAAGCCUUCGGGUGACGGUACCUGGAUAAGAAGCACCGGCUAACUACGUG
rnacentral:rRNA from 1 species